ACUGGCCGUUGCCCUCCUCCAUCGCUGCAGUGAAUUUGGACGAUGAGGUAGUAAGUAGUAUGACAGAUGAAGUGACGGAUUGAAGAGAGGAGGAUAGAUAGAUGAAUAGAAGAUAAUCUGUCAAAGAACGGAAGGUAGAAAAUCACAAACAAUACAGUAUCGAUUAGAAAGUGCUUAAAAGUGAGUUUUUUUAGUAUUCUGUGCUUUGGGCAUUUUGUAGAAAGUUUGUGGACAAAUUUAGGUCAGUGGAGGUUACAAAACACGGAACGGCAAGCAGACGACUCACAGAUAGGCGGAAAGAACAUUUCAGAGCGGUCUAGGUAGAAGAAAGGUUGUUUGCAGGAGGAACAAUAACUAAAAUUUUUGAUCAACUUUAUUUACGGUUGAUUUACAAAAAAAACGGUUUUGUUUUUCUUUGAUCCGAACA